GAGUUUGAUCUUGGCUCAGGACGAACGCUGGCGGCGUGCCUAAUACAUGCAAGUCGAACGCUUUUUCCAAUCAUCGUAGCUUGCUACACCGAUUGGAAAUUGAGUGGCGAACGGGUGAGUAACACGUGGGUAACCUGCCCAAAAGAGGGGGAUAACACUUGGAAACAGGUGCUAAUACCGCAUAACCAUGAUGACCGCAUGGUCAUUAUGUAAAAGAUGGUUUCGGCUAUCACUUUUGGAUGGACCCGCGGCGUAUUAACUUGUUGGUGGGUAACGGCCUACCAAGGUGAUGAUACGUAGCCGAACUGAGAGGUUGAUCGGCCACAUUGGGACUGAGACACGGCCCAAACUCCUACGGGAGGCAGCAGUAGGGAAUCUUCGGCAAUGGGGGGAACCCUGACCGAGCAACGCCGCGUGAGUGAAGAAGGUUUUCGGAUCGUAAAGCUCUGUUGUUAGAGAAGAACGUGUGUGAGAGUGGAAAGUUCACACAGUGACGGUAACUAA
rnacentral:rRNA from 1 species